rfam:Asian citrus Psyllid, Diaphorina citri - Florida Strain, whole genome shotgun sequence.
AAGAUCAUACUUCACAGGAUCAUUUCUGUAGUAUAUCUUCAGGUUGACAAACUUUUAUAGUUUCCAGCCCCUCGGUCACGAUGAUGAGACUCUCUCAUUCACCUGAGCGUGAGGUUGUGUGAU